rnacentral:rRNA from 1 species
AGCGAACGCUGGCGGCAGGCCUAACACAUGCAAGUCGAACGGACCUUUCGGGGUUAGUGGCGGACGGGUGAGUAACACGUGGGAACGUGCCUUUAGGUUCGGAAUAGCUCCUGGAAACGGGUGGUAAUGCCGAAUGUGCCCUUCGGGGGAAAGAUUUAUCGCCUUUAGAGCGGCCCGCGUCUGAUUAGCUAGUUGGUGAGGUAAUGGCUCACCAAGGCGACGAUCAGUAGCUGGUCUGAGAGGAUGACCAGCCACAUUGGGACUGAGACACGGCCCAAACUCCUACGGGAGGCAGCAGUGGGGAAUCUUGCGCAAUGGGCGAAAGCCUGACGCAGCCAUGCCGCGUGGAUGAUGAAGGUCUUAGGAUUGUAAAAUCCUUUCACCGGUGAAGAUAAUGACUGUAGCCGGAGAAGAAGCCCCGGCUAACUUCGUGCCAGCCGCCGCGGUAACAC